rnacentral:rRNA from 1 species
AUUGAACGCUGGCGGCAUGCCUUACACAUGCAAGUCGAACGGCAGCGCGGACUUCGGUCUGGCGGCGAGUGGCGAACGGGUGAGUAAUACAUCGGAACGUACCCUGUUGUGGGGGAUAACUAGUCGAAAGAUUAGCUAAUACCGCAUACGACCUGAGGGUGAAAGGGGGGGACCGCAAGGCCUCACGCAGCAGGAGCGGCCGAUGUCUGAUUAGCUAGUUGGUGGGGUAAAGGCCCACCAAGGCGACGAUCAGUAGCUGGUCUGAGAGGACGAUGAGCCACACUGGGACUGAGACAGGGCCCAGACUCCUACGGGAGGCAGCAGUGGGGAAUUUUGGACAAUGGGGGCAACCCUGAUCCAGCAAUGCCGCGUGUGUGAAGAAGGCCUUCGGGUUGUAAAGCACUUUUGUCCGGAAAGAAAUCGCGCUGGUUAAUACCUGGCGUGGAUGACGGUACCGGAAGAAUAAGCACCGGCUAACUACGUGCCAGCAGCCGCAGUAA